rnacentral:rRNA from 1 species
UACGAAGGGGGCUAGCGUUGUUCGGAAUUACUGGGCGUAAAGGGCGCGUAGGCGGACAGAUAAGUCGGAGGUGAAAGCCCAGGGCUCAACCUUGGAAUUGCCUUCGAUACUGGAAGUCUUGAGUUCGGGAGAGGUGAGUGGAAUUCCUAGUGUAGAGGUGAAAUUCGUAGAUAUUCGGCGGAACACCAGUGGCGAAGGCGACUCACUGGCCCGAUACUGACGCUGAGGCGCGAAAGCGUGGGGAGCAAACAGG